rnacentral:rRNA from 1 species
UACAGAGGCCUCGAGCGUUAGGCGGAAUCACUGGGCUUAAAGCGUGUGUAGGUGGAUGCCUAAGUACCUUGUGAAAUCCCACGGCUUAACCGUGGAACUGCUUGGUAUACUGGGUGUCUUGAGCCAGCUAGGGGCUACCGGAACAAAUGGUGGAGCGGUGAAAUGCGCAGAUAUCAGGAGGAACACCGAUGGCGAAGGCAGGUCUCUGGGCAUUAACUGACGCUGAGGAGCGAAAGCAUGGGGAGCGAACAGG